rnacentral:rRNA from 1 species
UACAGAGGGUGCGAGCGUUAAUCGGAAUUACUGGGCGUAAAGCGCACGUAGUCGGCUUUGCAAGUCGGGUGUGAAAUCCCCGGGCUCAACCUGGGAACUGCAUCCGAGACUGCAUUGCUAGAGUACGGUAGAGGGGGAUGGAAUUCCGCGUGUAGCAGUGAAAUGCGUAGAUAUGCGGAGGAACACCGAUGGCGAAGGCAAUCCCCUGGACCUGUACUGACGCUCAUGCACGAAAGCGUGGGGAGCAAACAGG